rnacentral:lncRNA from 1 species
GUCCAGUUUCUGUAGCAAUUCUCUCUCUUUCUUGAUCUGGUGAUCUUCUAAAUGCAGAGCCACAAACAGUCUGUGAACCAAGGAUUUGAUAUCUUCCAUUUCAGUAGCAUGCUCACUACUCAGCUUAUCUUUUAUAGGAGCUGACACACUGUAUGUUGUGUUGUUGAUAACAAGUUUAAAGUCAUUCAUCAGUAAGACCUCCAUCAAGGUUGCAUCAGAGACCUUGCUACCAUCUGUUGCAAAGACUUCUGCUCUCACAAUUCCUUUAUCUUCUCUCUGUAUAUCCUGCAGAAAUGCCCCCACUGUGGCUACCACUGGUUUAACAGCAAACUGACAGCGUUCUCUUCUUGUAGGCAACGUCAGAGUUAUCACGGGAAGACCAUGCCUGUAAUUAAUAGUCACUUCGUCAGAGGGCACCAGCAUGCUGUAGGAGGCUCCUUCCUGGCGUGCCCAGGUCCUGUUGUGCCUCCAGAGCUGCACCUGAGGCUCCGAGAGGGGCGGGCGACCAUCCCGUCUGCCCCGCGCCGCCCGGCCGCCCACCAGCAGCCCGAGCCGCCCGUCGCUCGGCGGCAGGCUCCGCACAGCCCGCCCCAGUCCCGCCAGCAUCGCCCCAGACCUCCUUCUCCGGCUUCGGCUCGGGGCGGGCGUGGGCGAGCCCGAGCGGAGGGCGUUUCCUCCGGCGGUGUGUGCGGAGCUGUUCCU